rnacentral:rRNA from 1 species
GAGGUGGCAAGCGUCGUUCGGAAUUACUGGGCGUAAAGGGCGCGUAGGCGGCCCACUAAGUCAGACGUGAAAUCCCCCGGCUUAACCUGGGAACUGCGUCUGAUACUGGAGGGCUUGAGUAUGGGAGAGGGAUGUAGAAUUCCAGGUGUAGCGGUGAAAUGCGUAGAUAUCUGGAGGAAUACCGGUGGCGAAGGCGGCAUCCUGGACCAUUACUGACGCUGAGGCGCGAAAGCUAGGGGAGCAAACGGGAUUAGAUACCCCGGUAGUCCUAGCCCUAAACGAUGAAUGCUUGGUGUGGCGGGUAUCGAUCCCUGCCGUGCCGAAGCUAACGCAUUAAGCAUUCCGCCUGGGGAGUACGGUCGCAAGGCUG